rnacentral:misc_RNA from 1 species
AACUUUUGACAAUGGAUCUCUUGGCUCUCCCAUCGAUGAAGGACGCAGCGAAAUGCGAUAAGUAAUGUGAAUUGCAGAAUUCAGUGAAUCAUCGAAUCUUUGAACGCACCUUGCACCCUUUGGCAUUCCGAAGGGUAUGCUCGUUUGAGUGUCAUUGUACUCUCACCUCCCGAUGCUUUUGGAUCGGGAGUGGUGGACUUGGGUGUUGCUGCUUUACCGUGGCUCACCUCAAAUGUGUUCGUGCACCUCUUGGUUGGACAUAGUACGGCGUGAUAAGUUCUUCGCCGGCACCUCACUUGAGGGUGGCUGAUCAGGGGCUCUGUGCUUCCAACCGUCUUCCGACAACAACUGACAACUUGACCUCAAAUCGAGUAGGACUACCCGCUGAACUUAAGCAUAUCAAUAAGCGGAGGCU